rnacentral:rRNA from 1 species
UGAAUACGAGAUGCUACGGCGUCGAAGCAGUCUAUGUCAUACUUCCAAGAAAAGCUUGCACUGUCAUAAACAAAUAAUGCCUGUACCAUAACCGACACAGGUGGGUAGGUAGAGUAUACUAAGGGGCGCGAGAUAACUCUCUCUAAGGAACUCGGCAAAAUGACUCCGUAACUUCGGGAGAAGGAGUGCCUUAUUUAUAAGGUUGCAAUAACAAGAUCCAAGCAACUGUUUUACCAAAAACACAGGUCUCCGCUAAGUCGUAAGACGAUGUAUGGGGGCUGACGCCUGCCCAGUGCCAGAAGGUUAAAGAAGUCGGUUAGCAUUAGCGAAGCUGAUAACUGAAGCCCUGGUGAACGGCGGCCGUAACUAUAACGGUCCUAAGGUAGCGAAAUUCCUUGUCGGGUAAGUUCCGACCCGCACGAAAGGCGUAAUGAUUUGGAUACUGUCUCGGAGAGGGGCUCGGUGAAAUAGACUUGUCUGUGAAGAUGCGGACUACCUGCACCUGGACAGAAAGACCCUAUGAAGCUUUACUGUAACUUGAAAUUGAAAUUGGACUUUAUUUGCGCAGCAUAGGUGGGAGGCGUUGAUAAUAAUCUUGCGGGAUUAUUGGAGCCAUCAGUGAGAUACCACUCUUGUAAUGUUAGAUUUCUAACUUUGUAUCAUUAUCUGGUCAAAGAACAGUUUCAGGCGGGCAGUUUGACUGGGGCGGUCGCCUCCUAAACGGUAACGGAGGCGCACAAAGGUUUCCUCUGAACGGGUAGAAAUCGUAUCUAGAGUGUAAAGGCAUAAGGAAGCUUGACUGUGAGACCUACAAGUCGAGCAGGGACGAAAGUCGGUUUUAGUGAUCUGACGGUGCUGAGUGGAAAGGCCGUCACUCAACGGAUAAAAGUUACUCUAGGAUAACAGGCUGAUCUCCCCCAAGAGUUCACAUCGACGGGGAGGUUUGGCACCUCGAUGUCGGCUCAUCGCAUCCUGGGGCGGUAGUACGUCCCAAGGGUUGGGCUGUUCGCCCAUGAAAGCGGUACGCGAGCUGGGUUCAGAACGUCGUGAGACAGUUCGGUCCAUAUCCGGUGUAGGCGUUAGAAUAUUGAGAGGAGCCUUCUCUAGUACGAGAGGACCGAGAAGGACAUACCUCUGGUGUACCAGUUAUCGUGCCAACGGUAAACGCUGGGUAGCUAUGUAUGGAGUGGAUAACCGCUGAAAGCAUCUAAGUGGGAAGCCCACCUUAAGAUAAG